rnacentral:tRNA from 1 species
GGCGGCGGUGGCGAACCGCUUGCCGUCGGCCGCGUACGCGGCGGCCAGCACGCCGGCGUCGUGCCCUACGACGCGCCGCAAC